AAUCGAGCUUAUUAUAACAGUUUCUUAUCUGACCUAAAUGAACCUUCCAAAAAUAACUUAAAAAACCCCCCAAUACUAUUUUCCCAUUCAAAAACUUUUAAAAGCUGCCUAUUACUCACUGUUGUCAAAUAUGGGCUCCUUGCUCUGGAAUUGAAAGCUCUCCAUUAAGUGGGUUCAUAAUAGACCUGUUAAUUCCUAUUCUUUAUCAUAAUGUCUUCACUUCAGUUGUAUGUUCUCCCCAUUGUCCCCUUCACACCUGUGCUCAUUCAUGGCUUUAUUUAGGUUGUUCAAAAAACUGGAUGGAUAAAAUUUACUGGAUGCUACUUGAUCUGUGCUGGGGACUGCUAUGGAGUUGCAAGAAAGAAAGACUGGAACAUUAUCAAAGAAAGGAUAAUGAACGUUUAUUGUAAGCAGCACACAAGAUUUUAAGCUCUUCUCGAGAGAAAUAAUCUAUCCUCCCCAAUCCUCCCCAGAAUGUGAACAGGGGAGUUAACCCAUUCUCAGGAGAUCUUGAAACUGUUCAUGCAUCCUUGAACUGAGAUUACUAUGUUUUGGCGUACUCAGUAGGAAUGGUAUGUCACAAAUACCUGGGAAGAGGAACUCUAUUCCAUGAGGUCAUGAAAAGUUCACUGCAGAUCUGCCUUCACAAUUUAUUUAUACCAAGUUGUUUUCCAUGAAUGACGAGAAGAAAGGCUCUUAUUUUAUAUACAUAGCUAUUUUGUGUGCCUUUGUGUAUUACAUGUAUGUAAAUGAUAUGUUCUUAGAUAUUGUGUUCAUCCCAUGCCAAGUUUGUAAGAGUGAAAAAAGGGAUUAAUUAUUGUAGCAAUCCAGCCCAUAUGUAUAAUUAAGAGGCAAGGAUUGUGUGUGGGCACAUGGCCAUUCUGUGCAUGGCAAUGAAUUCUGUUCCCAGCAUGGCUAAGGCUAGGGCGUGAAAUCUUACUUCCCUUUGUCUUACCCACCUGGGAUACAACCCCACCUUCACCUUGUCGUAAUUUGCAAUUAUCCAAUGGCAAUACACUAUGUAAUUCAUCAAUAUGUAUUGGGUACAUUUGCAUGUCAAAGAGAUUAAAAGGAGAGCUCGCAGCCAUCUCUCUCUCUCUCUCUCUCUCUCUCUCUCUCUCUCUCUCUCUCUCUCAGAGAUCUCACAGGAUUGCCUAACCCUAUCUCUUCUCUCUUCUCUCUCCUCUCUAUCUCUCACCUGAAACCUGGCCUUUGGCCAGGCCUCUCUCUUUUCCAAUGCUAAUACCUAGCACUCUCUAAUUCAUCCUACUAUACUCUGUUUAUUCUCCCAGCUAAGCUAUAAUAUCCUCUGACCGGUGAAGUGUUAAAUUGGGAUCAUUGGACGGAAUUAGCCUUUUGAGAAGUCCACUGAUUGGAGUAUGGCUGCGGCUCCAUUGUAAUCGAUACGGCCUGGUUUCUGACUCAUUUCUGACAUCUCGAACUUGGUUCCCUCACGCCCUUCAUGGAAUCCUAAACUACUAUCCUUUCUCUAUCUUUCUUAUCUUGUGGCUUCUCACUGGCGAGAGGCUAUAAUUAUUAAAAAGAGUAGGGUCACUAGGAAUUUAAUUUAUUCCAAAGAGAUUUAUUUACAAUUUAUUUUCAAAAUAUAGAAAGAGUGAAGUAAGAAAAUCAGAGAGGAUAGGGUAAGAUAUCUAGCCUAAGUACUAAGUAAUUUACUCCUGACCCUUGGCUCAGUCCGGACAAGGAGAGUUAGUCCUUAGCUGGUCUUGGCAAAGCCAAGGACCUGGGAAAGUCUCUCUCAAGAGGUAGUUCUUUCCUGAGGCUAGUUUUUUUCCCCCAGAAAAUCCAGGAAAGGAGUCAGCCUUUUCACUUACCAUGUGUCAGGAAGAGAUUUAAGAAAAGCCUCACUAGGAACAGGGUCUCAGGUCCAGUCAGUAGAUUCUUUUCCAGUCUCAACUCCAAAGAAUGAAAAACUCUGUUUCACAAGAAGUUCUACUCCAAGUAGAACUAUACUCAGGAAGUUGUAACUCCCCUUUAAAGACAUUUUCUUUUGUGUCACUUCCUGUGCCUCCCCCUAAUUUUAUGUCUACCAAUCACAGUUGAAGCUUUGCUUUAAGACUGCCCAGGAGCAGUCAGUUUAAUUCUGAUUCAUCACCCACUAUUGCAUAUGUAGGUCACGGACCUCCCACUUAAUGGUACAUUUACACUUUUGGUGAUUAAAUCUAAAAAUGGGCAGGGGAACUAAUUUAAUUUUCACAAUCAGGGGGAGAGUUAAUUAAUUUCAUUUUCACAAUCAGGGGAGAGUUAAAUUUAAUCUUCACAAGUUCUAUAUAAAUAAAAUGGUGUCUGUAUAUAUAAGUCGUGAAUGAUAAGAAAGGAAACAACAGUGCCUAACAACAAAUCAUGGUUUUAGGACUUACCAAAUAAUUUAGUGCAAUCUCUUCAAUUUAUAAAUAAGUAAAUUGAAAUCCAGAGCAAUAAAGUAAUUUACCCAAAACCACACAGAUAAUAAAUAGUAGAAAAAGGAUUUGAACCUAGAACCAGAGGAUGCAGUUUCUCAAAAUUCAAAUCCAAUGCACUUUCAGGUGUAGAUAAAUUACAAUCCAGGGUACACAAAGUUUUGGGGUAGGUGUUCAUGAAUUCACUUUGAGAAAUCAUCUAGAACAGGAAAAAAAUGAAGAAGAAACCUAGGAAUAGGCAGAUAUCUCAAUUUUCAUUAAAAAAUGAGAAGCCAGAGAGGUCAUGAUAACAUGUUUUCAGAUACUGAAUAAGAAAAGACUUAGAAAGAAUGUGAUAGAUGGCUUCAAUUCUAGAAGGGCUGUUAGAAAUAAAAAUGAUGUGUGUGUGUGUGUGUGUGUGUGUGUGUGUGUGUGUGUGUGUGUAUCCAAAAGGCAAAAUUAGAACCAAUGGAUGGUAAAGGGCAAGAGUUCAAUUCAAUGCAAAAAAGAAUUUUCUAGCAAUUAAAGCUAUCCAGUAAGGGAACAAGCUGCCUCACAAAAUAGUCAGCUCCCCUGCUGGGAGCCAUCAGAUCACAAAGCCUUGACAGAGUCACAUGUGGUAGCUGGGGAUACCACAGAGUGGUCCUUGGUGAGAGAUGACUGCCCACUCUAUCCCCUUUAUAUGACCUCUUUCAUCAAUGCCCCUUACCUAUGAAUUGGCAUGAUUACUAUUCCCCCUAGUCUCAAAAGAAAUAAUGCAAGAGCAAAACACCUGUACCCUAAUUCUCCAAAAACAUCACCAAAAGAUCAGACCCUUAAACCCAAUCCCAAAAAGACUAUCAUGGGUUAACUUUUACUUAGGUACAUAAUUCUCACUAAAUUCUCACUAAACCACAGCUACAGGCCAAGCCCAAAACUUUCUCAUGAAGCCAGCACACAAAUCAAUAAUAAAGGCCCAUACAAUACAUACAGGUACACUACAAGUAUAUCAAGCUUCAAUAUGCCUCAGUGACUCGAUUUCACAAACCAGUAACUUGCCAGUGGGAAACUCCCUAGUAAGAACCCUGAGAAAUGACCAGUCUAAUACUAAAUUUGAAUUGUGUUCCCAAUACCCCUCAACCUCAAUGAUAUGAUUGUUGAAUUGUCUUUUAAGAACUGCUGAUUAACUAUUCCAUUUUAUUAAAAGCAAUAAGUAAUUUUCCUUGAUUGUUUAUAAGCUCAGAACUUCGCACAGGAUAAUGAGAAAAUUAAGCCACCUGUGAUAAAAUCAUUUAUCUUGUAUUCUGACUGUAAUCACAAUACAAAAAUAUAGAAUGUUAAUCAAGUGAUUUGUUAAAAGUUAAUGUAUCACUUUUCCAAUUAUCUCUCUUUGAUUUUAUGUACCUGCAUGCCAAGAAAAUGGGUAUAAAAAUAAAAAGCAGACAUUGGAAUGGCGGAGCAGCUGUCAAGAUGCAAAGCAGUUCCAAGGCCAUAAUUAUUAAGCUGUCUUCAAUUUGUUAUUUAUUUUGACUGAUUGUUUGCCACCUGUCAGGAAUCCUGGAGUCGAUAGUGAGGCUGGAUCCUGCCCGCAGCACUCCCCCUUCCAAGAAAUGCUCAAGCAAAAGGUAGGUUGUCAACUAUUUGAAAAUGCAUGCUAACCAAGACUUGUGUUUCUUUUGUAUAUCCCCAGGACCACAAAUAGUCUGAGAGUCAUUGAUAUCCAGUGGGAAGACAGAAGUCAAGAUGAUUGGCGAUGGUCCAGGAUACAGCAAAUAACCUUGGUGUCUAGUGGAUACCGUCAGACAUCUUUAGAAGCUUCCUAAAUCUGUGUCUGUCCUGGGUUUGUUCUUGGUACAUCGCCAGAACCAAAGCAUGUUGUUUUCCCUGGUGGGUACUAAUGAAGAUUGAUUGUUACAAAAUCAGAGUUAGAAAAUGCAAAAGCUGGAAGGCCCUUGGAGAUCAUCAGACAUACAUCCCUCACUUGAUAGGUAACCAUCUAAAAGGAAAGCAGUCUGAGGUCUCCUACAAGAGCUCCUCCAGGGGUCGAAUUCCACAGCCAAGUGUCUUCACUCCAAGUCUGGGUGUCUAUUUUCCAGUCUCUCCUCAAGUGACUCUUCUUCACUCCUUUAUGUACCCACAGGCAAAUGACUUAAAUUCUUAGUUCUCCAUGUAGACAAUUUUCCAAGAUGAAAUUACAUAGAAAUUGCUAGAUUUACAUCAGUGGAAGGACUUUCCUAUACCUAUGAAAUAACGAGUUUGGAACAAAUAUCUUUCUGUCUUCCUGUCUUUCUAUCUACAUAUCGGUGUAUCUAUGUAUCCAUAUAUUUGUUUGUCUGUUCACCCAUCCAUCUGUCCAUCCAUCCAUCUAUCUACCUAUCUCACCAUGUUCUCUCUCUCCUUUCCCUCUGUUUUUCUGUUUGUGUGUGCAUAUGUCUAACUGUCCAUCUAUCUAUAUAUCUUUGUAUUAUUAACAAAAGGACUUUUCCCACCUCCACUAAAAAUUGUCUGGACAGCUAGGUGGCACAGGGAAUUGUGUACUGAACCUGAAGUCAAGAACACUCAUCUUCCUGAGUUCAACUCUGACUUCAGACAUUUACUAGCCAUGUGACACUGGGCAAGCUACUUCACCCUGUUUGCCUCCGUUUUCUCAUCUGUCCAAUGAACUGGAGAAGGAAAUGGCAAACUACUCCAGUAUCUUUGCCAAGAAAACCCCACACGGGGUCACAAAGAGUGGGACAUAUCUGAAAUGACUAAACAAUAGACUCUCAUCACUUCAUGCCCAGGCUAUUGCAAUAGCCUUUUGGCUUCCUUUCCCUGUUAGAAUGAAAACUGAACAACAACAACAAUUGUCUUUUAAUAAUCUGCUUUUAUUUUUGGAGUAAUAAUUUCUAUGUCUAAAGUUCAACCAAUAGCAAAAAAGAAAAAAAAAACCUCUAAUAGUUAAUCCCUUACAAGGGGUCAUUUGACCUUCUUUCAGAAACCCAUUGAUGGGAAGCUCAUUACUUCUCUAGGCCAUUCAUUCCACUUUUGGAUAGUUCCAUGUUAGAUGCCUCUCUCAUAUUGGAUACUAUGGCUCUAUUAAUACAGAUCACAUUAGAUAUUUUGGCUGCCAUAUUAUACUGUUGACUUAGUAUGAGCUUGGGGUCCACUAAAACUUUCCAGAUUUUUUUCAAUAUGAGCUGUUAUUUAGCUCUGCUUUUCAUUUCUUAUACUUAUAAAGUUGAUUUUUAAACUUAAAUAUAGACAUUCACAUUUAUCUCUAUAAAAUUUCAUUUUUUUUUCUAUUUUGCCCAAUGUUCUAGCCUAUCAAAGUAUUUUUGGAUAAUAAACUUUGGCAUCCAACAUGUUACCUAUUCCAUAGCUUUGUAUCAUUUGUAAAUAAAAUAAGGACACUUGUUAUUUAAAUUAUUGAUGAAAUUGCUAAGUAGCACAAUUUGAAACUGUUUUACAAGUUGAUAAAAUCAUUUGUCUCUAUCUUUUUCUGAAUCCAUCUACUUGUUCUUUGUCAAGUCCAUAUCCUGCCAUCAUCUUGGCAAAAAGGCAAAAGACUUUGUCAAAUGUAGUUAACUAAAUCUAUGACACACACACACGCACACACAUGCAUGCAC